GAUGAACGCUGGCGGCGUGCCUAAUACAUGCAAGUCGAGCGAACAGACGAGGAGCUUGCUCCUCUGACGUUAGCGGCGGACGGGUGAGUAACACGUGAAUAACCUACCUAUAAGACUGGGAUAACUUCGGGAAACCGGAGCUAAUACCGGAUAAUAUAUUGAACCGCAUGGUUCAAUAGUGAAAGACGGUUUUGCUGUCACUUAUAGAUGGAUCCGCGCCGCAUUAGCUAGUUGGUAAGGUAACGGCUUACCAAGGCAACGAUGCGUAGCCGACCUGAGAGGGUGAUCGGCCACUCUGGAACUGAGACACGGUCCAGACUCCUACGGGAGGCAGCAGUAGGGAAUCUUCCGCAAUGGGCGAAAGCCUGACGGAGCAACGCCGCGUGAGUGAUGAAGGUCUUCGGAUCGUAAAACUCUGUUAUUAGGGAAGAACAAAUGUGUAAGUAACUAUGCACGUCUUGACGGUACCUAAUCAGAAAGCCACGGCUAACUACGUG
rnacentral:rRNA from 1 species